rnacentral:rRNA from 1 species
UACGUAGGUGGCAAGCGUUGUCCGGAUUUACUGGGCGUAAAGAGCGCGCAGGCGGUCGAUCAAGUCGCGUGUGAAAGCCCCCGGCUCAACUGGGGAGGGUCACGCGAUACUGAUCGACUCAAGGCAGGAGAGGGUAGUGGAAUUCCCGGUGUAGUGGUGAAAUGCGUAGAGAUCGGGGAGGAACACCGGCGGCGAAGGCGGCUGCCUGGACCAGUCCUGACGCUGAGGCGCGAAAGCUAGGGGAGCAAACAGG